rnacentral:lncRNA from 1 species
GGAUUACAUAAUUUCAUCUUCAAAAACCUAACUUCGAUGCCUUUAUCUCACAAAUAUUCGUAGAAAUCAACUUCUUCAAUAGAAUUGAUCGAUUUCGAUGGCUUAGUAGUACUUCCGGCAAGUUUUCAAGAAUAACCCAGAGACGCGAAAAAACUAGGGUGGCAUAUGAGAGGAAGUGAUGAGAGACGAAUGAGAGGCAGAGGUGUUCGACGAGUAGAUGAUGAGAGACGAGUGAGAGUGAGAGGCAGAGGCGUUCGAUGAGUGAGAUGAUGAGAGACGAGUGAGAGGCAGUGGCAGAGAAGUGGAAA